rnacentral:rRNA from 1 species
GUAACACCCGAAGUCCGUGAGGUAACCGUAAGGAGCCAGCGGCCGAAGGUGGGAUUGAUGAUUGGGGUGAAGUCGUAACAAGGUAGCCGUAGGAGAACCUGCGGCUGGAUCACCUCCUUUCUAGGGAG